rnacentral:rRNA from 1 species
AACGUGAAACUACCACGAGGUUAAAGCGGAUGUACAUACGUAGCCGACCGGGUGGGCUCAUCUUCUCGAGCUUCCAGCGGUCGUCGCGUUCGGACCGUCGCCACACUCGGAUCCCCUUCGGGGGUAACGACUGGCGUCGGCCGUCGCGGCGGCGGACUCGGAGGAGAGAGCGGUGGAUUCCCCUCCCCAGUAGGCAGUCGCGGCCGUUCGAGAGUUGUCUAAGACCCGGGAGUUGGGAACCGUCCGGCGUUUUACGCGUCGGCGGGGACUCUCCCUCGAUUCUGGCGGACUUUCGGACGGUGGAUGAAAAAUGACGACGUAGAGGAGAGCAAUUCCCUCGUCGUACGCGGCUGUAACGCGAUCGUUCAUCCGUCCCGUCUUGAAACACGGACCAAGGAGUCUAACAUGUACGCGAGUCAAAGGGUUGGCUAAACCCCUAGGCGUAACGAAAGUAAAAAAGAAGCCUUUUUUUUUUUUAAAAGAGAAAGGCUUCGUUGGGUCGAUCCGUGCUCCCUAUUACAAGGACCGGCGCAGACCCGGGGCUCGCCGCUACCUCCUCGAGAUUCGUCUCGAGGCGGGCGGCGGGCACCUAGAGCGUACAUGCUAGUACCCGAAAGAUGGUGAUCUAUGCCUGGCCAGGAUGAAGCCAGAGGAAACUCUGGUGGAGGUCCGUAGCGAUUCUGACGUGCAAAUCGAUCGUCGGAGCUGGGUAUAGGGGCGAAAGACC